UACGGGAGGCAGCAGUGAGGAAUAUUGGACAAUGGAGGCAACUCUGAUCCAGCCAUGCCGCGUGCAGGAAGACUGCCCUAUGGGUUGUAAACUGCUUUUAUACAGGAAGAAACACUGCUACGUGUAGCAGCUUGACGGUACUGUAAGAAUAAGGAUCGGCUAACUCCGUGCCAGCAGCCGCGGUAAU
rnacentral:rRNA from 1 species